GGAAUGGUAGAACUCAUCCGCUGUGCAAUCAUAUUAGUAAUUGUUCUAGCAACCCUCAGAGUAGUAGGCUUCACAAGCUUAGAUCUAACAGCCACUUUUUUCCCCUUGGAAAAAGUUAAGUCAAUCAUAAGCUUCAUAGCAGUGGAUGAACCCUCACGAGUAAUAGAGGAAGUCUUUAGCUUUUUUUCCACAACGGCUCUCGAGCAGGGUACGAAGAUCUCUUUAUCCCACCUCUAUGAGCAACAAGCUCUACGGUAGCAAUUGUAUAAGCAAACGCCUCACCCAUGAUCCUUUUAAUCUCCUUAAUCUGGGGUAGCCCACAUUUCUCCCUAUGAAGCAGACUGAGCAGCCAACGCCACUUAUGAUAUUCAGCAAGGAUCCCCAAAACGAUGUGCACCUUCUUCAUGUCUGG
rnacentral:lncRNA from 1 species